UACGUAGGGUGCAAGCGUUGUCCGGAAUUAUUGGGCGUAAAGAGCUCGUAGGCGGUUUGUCGCGUCUGCUGUGAAAAUCCGAGGCUCAACCUCGGACUUGCAGUGGGUACGGGCAGACUAGAGUGUGGUAGGGGAGACUGGAAUUCCUGGUGUAGCGGUGGAAUGCGCAGAUAUCAGGAGGAACACCGAUGGCGAAGGCAGGUCUCUGGGCCGAUACUGACGCUGGAGGAGCGAAAGGCGUGGGGAGCGAACAGG
rnacentral:rRNA from 1 species